rnacentral:rRNA from 1 species
GUGGGGAAUAUUGGACAAUGGGCGCAAGCCUGAUCCAGCCAUGCCGCGUGAGUGAUGAAGGUCUUAGGAUUGUAAAGCUCUUUCACCGGUGAAGAUAAUGACGGUAACCGGAGAAGAAGCCCCGGCUAACUUCGUGCCAGCAGCCGCGGUAAUACGAAGGGGGCUAGCGUUGUUCGGAAUUACUGGACGUAAAGCGCACGUAGGCGGAUAUUUAAGUCAGGGGUGAAAUCCCAGAGCUCAACUCUGGAACUGCCUUUGAUACUGGGUAUCUUGAGUAUGGAAGAGGUGAGUGGAAUUCCGAGUGUAGAGGUGAAAUUCGUAGAUAUUCGGAGGAACACCAGUGGCGAAGGCGGCUCACUGGUCCAUUACUGACGCUGAGGUGCGAAAGCGUGGGGAGCAAACAGGAUUAGAUACCCGUGUAGUCC